rnacentral:rRNA from 1 species
GAUGAACGCUGGCGGCGUGCCUAAUACAUGCAAGUCGAGCGAACAGAUGAGGAGCUUGCUCCUCUGACGUUAGCGGCGGACGGGUGAGUAACACGUGGAUAACCUACCUAUAAGACUGGGAUAACUUCGGGAAACCGGAGCUAAUACCGGAUAAUAUAUUGAACCGCAUGGUUCACUAGUGAAAGACGGUUUUGCUGUCACUUAUAGAUGGAUCCGCGCCGCAUUAGCUAGUUGGUAAGGUAACGGCUUACCAAGGCAACGAUGCGUAGCCGACCUGAGAGGGUGAUCGGCCACACUGGAACUGAGACACGGUCCAGACUCCUACGGGAGGCAGCAGUAGGGAAUCUUCCGCAAUGGGCGAAAGCCUGACGGAGCAACGCCGCGUGAGUGAUGAAGGUCUUCUGAUCGUAAAACUCUGUUAUUAGGGAAGAACAAAUGUGUAAGUAACUAUGCACGUCUUGACGGUACCUAAUCAGAAAGCCACGGCUAACUACGUG